rnacentral:rRNA from 1 species
GUAGUUAGCCGGGGCUUCUUAGUCAGGUACCGUCAUUUAUUCUUCCCUGCUGAUAGAAGUUUACAAUCCGAAGACCUUCAUCCUUCACGCGGCGUCGCUGCAUCAGGCUUGCGCCCAUUGCCCAAUAUUCCCCACUGCUGCCUCCCGUAGGAGUCUGGACCGUGUCUCAGUUCCAGUGUGGCCGAUCAGCCUCUCAGCUCGGCUACCCAUCGCAGGCUUGGUGGGCUGUUAUCUCACCAACUACCUAAUGGGACGCGAACCCCUCCUUCAGCGGAUUGCUCCUUUGACCUCAUCCCGAUGCCGGGUCGUGGUCUUAUGCGGUAUUAGCACUUGUUUCCAGGUGUUAUCCCCCUCUGAAGGUCAGGUUGUUCACGCGUUACUCACCCGUUCGCCACUAAAAUUUAUCUUCCAUCCGAAAACUUCUGAUAAAUCUCCGUUCGACUUGCAUGUGUUAGGCACGCCGCCAGCGUCGUCCUGAGCAGGAUCAAACUACUGA